CGAAAAACCCGAUAAAGACUCUCUUGCCCAUUUAUGGUAUUCUUAGUGUAUUAUCGGCCAGCAAGACCAAGUGGCACGUCAUUCUCAUCGUCAUCGACAUUCUCCAGCUAUAGAUAAGAGAAUCUCGGUAAACUGACUCAAAUACCAAGGAGCAGGAGGACUAAUUUCUACGUUAUACGAUAUCCAUGAGUAUCAGAUGCGUGAAAUGACUCAUAUCCACACACAACCAUAUGUAAACGAGAAAUCAUCUAUACGAAGUCCGGCAUUUUCUGUGAGUCAUUAGUCGUUACCCCAUAAGUCUCAUAGCUCCAGCCUUACUCACGACCGGCCACCGGUAACAAUAUGAUGACUUUACCUACAUAGUAUAGUAUCCAGGUACAUAUAAACUAUAUGAAUAUAUUUAUAUGAAUGAAUAUAUUUUUAAAU